UACAAGAUGGUUGAGAAUUAAACAAUAAACUGUAAAUUUAUAUAGGGGCGAUAGCCCUCUUGUAU
rnacentral:tRNA from 1 species